rnacentral:misc_RNA from 1 species
CCUAGAGUUGUAGGCUUUGCCUGCCAUCUCUUACCCAUGUCUUUUGAGUACCUUACGUUUCCUCGGUGGGUUCGCCCACCGAUUGGACAAACUUAAACCCUUUGCAGUUGAAAUCAGCGUCUGAAAAAACUUAAUAGUUA